GCGCCCGCCGAGUCUAGUGGUCCUAAACAUUUCACAAUUGCGCUACAGAACUGUUGAACUGUUAAGAACCACUGGACCCAGCGCGC
rnacentral:pre_miRNA from 1 species